GGACGUAUUUCUGGCGCUUUCUAGACCAAAAUGAAGACGAAGACCCAGUAUUUUACAACCAGCCCAGAAGACUCCAAAGUACCUUGAGAGACGUUCAUGUCGAAAUCCAAUGCAGUGGCGUUACUGUAAAUUCGCUGCAGAGCAAGACAUCCUGUUCAAGCACUACAGACUUCAUCAUUGGCAGACAGGGCAAAGAAACAGACAUUUGUUUAUGUCCCUGUUCUCAAGACAUUGAAGAAUCUUUUGAGUAAGCCUGAAGUACUCGAGAAGACGUUUCCAAUCCAAGAGAGCACCCAAGGUCUUUACACAUCAUGUUUUGAUGACCACAAACUUGACGGCACAUAGAAGAUAUACUGUCCUCCGGGGUUUUCCGCUGUACAUGAGGGAGAGGCCUUCCAUUUCAAAGACCUUACUUGAUGCUGAAGCAUUGGAGGACCACACAAAGAACAUGAAAAUGGGAAUUCUUGAAGUGGUGAAGGAGAGUGCUGAUCCAUCGCGAUCACUGACCAGUGUGGUCAAUGUUGCAGUUGUGCUUGAAGAGGAGGUAGUAAUGGAUAACUUGCCUGACUACACUAAUGCCUUCAUUCUGCUCUUUGGACUUCUGUAUGCACUAAACAUAGAAUAUCCAAAAGACUUAAAAUACACAUUUGAAGUGGUCCAAAAAGUGUUCCUUCAUCUUGGAAACGAGUGCACAGCCAGAGUGCAGUCUCUAAAGAACAAGUUAGUGCACAUGUAAUCACUACACGCAUAAGCGUUAUUUUUUUUAUUUUUAAAUUUUUUUUGUGACUUACAACACACAAUGCGGUGCUUUUAUUUUAUGUUGUCCAUGUUCACCUCUGCUUGGAGCAGUUUGCUACUCAUUUAAGAGUACCCAUCUAAAAUGGCUGAGAUGACUUGGUUUGAUUCGGUUUUGUUCCACUUUUAAAAAAAAAAAAGACUGUUUUAGUUCUUGUCUUUGUCGUAAAUGCUGCAGUUUUUUUUAAAACAGCAUUGUCGUUGUUUCCUUCUUUGCUAGCUUCAAUGUUAAAUAUUCAUUCCACUUUUAGAAAUCACACACACUUUAUGUUCAGUUUUUCUGUUAGCGUAACCUUCUAAAACUUUUGUUCUCUAAAGUACAAGGUAUUGUACUAAUUUCUGCAUGAAUGUCACAGAUGUUUGACUGCUGUUCUGGCACUAGUGGCAACAUUUGUCACAAAUGUGUGUAUUUAAAGUAAGAGUUUGUUUUAUUACUACUUAUUUUUGUAAAGUUUUGCUACCUAUACCACUGAAAUGGACACACACAAGUGCAAUAAUGCUGCUAUAAAGGAACCAUUUAAUAUAUCUAUUAAAGUAAUUUGUUAGUUUUAAAGCAGCUUUAAUAUGCCUAGUAGAUGUUUUAUCACUGUUAACUAUAAAAAUCUGAUGUUUUUAAUAUUUUUGCAAAUAAAUGCAUUUGUUAAAAAGUA